rnacentral:misc_RNA from 1 species
AAAUAAUAAAAUAAUUUUUUAAAUAAUAUUUAAAAUAAUACUUUUAUUAAAAAAAAAAAAAGGGAAAGUUUUGACCUCCUUAUGUUAACUCAGUGUCGUUACAUUCACACGGACCACUGUAGCUGACUGCACCCGCGCAUCUUAGAAAAUUUUGUUGUGGCUGCGCAUUUAAUUAAGUGAAUUAGAUUCGACCAAUUUAUAAUUUGUUCUAAACGUAAAAGGUAUAUUAAUAUCUAAUAUCAAUUUAAAAUAAAAAAUAAUAUACCUUUAUAACGUCUUGAAUAUUCUUUCCCUUAGUUAAUUAACUCAUUUUCUUCUGAGCGCCUUAUUAGGGUUAAUAAUGAACAAUAAUUAAUAAUAUUAAAUUUUUCUUUAAAAUUAUAAAAUUUAAAAUUUAAGCUUCAAUUCAAAUAAUCGACCACUAAUGGUGGAAUUUGAGUUGCCUCGCUUUUUGUCAGCCAACUUGCAACUAAUGGUGCAUUUACAACUACCUUACAUUUGUGGCCUAACGCUUGAUGUGACGUUGAUAAGAAACUUUAAGAAUAAUACUAAUAAUUAAAAAAAGGAAUGAAACGAUGCCGUUGUAACCUUGUUAAUAGCAAUUUCAUUUCUUCCCAUAAUCUCCUCGUUCAGAUGCGAAUAAAAUCUUCCGACGCACAUUUUGGAUCAUGGACGAAGGGAAGGAAACGCUUUUCCCCGUCAAUCGCGCGUAUUGUAUGUUCACCGUACAGAUUUGUUUGUUUGUACUCCCAGAUCUAAACUGUCCACGUGUUUCAACCAUAAAUUGCGGAGGCAGUUACUAAUUUACUUCUGCUUUUCUCAGUCGUCACGUGAGAACGCUGUCGGUGGCUUGGUUUUAACUUUUUUACCUUUAAUCUCCUUGUCUACCCUUCCGCUGUUCAUCUAAUCACACGAAUUACCACUCACCUUUUAUUCCCUUUUUGUUUUCCAGUUAUUCGAUUUUGCAGACAAG